CCUACGGGUGGCAGCAGUGAGGAAUAUUGGUCAAUGGCCGGAAGGCUGAACCAGCCAAGCCGCGUGAGGGAGGAAGGCGCAGAGCGUCGCAGACCUCUUUUGCCGGGGGACAAAAGGCCGGACUCGUCCGGUCCUGAGGGUCCACGGAGAAAAAGCAUCCGCUAACUCCGUGCCAGCAGCCGCGGUAAUACGGAGGAUGCGAGCGUUAUCCGGAUUCAUUGGGUUUAACGGGUGGGCAGGGGGGCCUUUAAGCCGGCGGUAAAAUCGCGGGGCUCAACCCCGCCGCGCCGUCGGAACUGGGUGCAUAGAGUGCGGCGGGGGCAGGCGGAAUGCGUGGUGUAGCGGGGAAAUGCAUAGAUAUCGCGCAGAACCCCGAUUGCGAAGGCAGCGUGCCGUGCCGCCACUGACGCUGAGGCACGAAAGCGCGGGGAUCGAACAGGAUUAGAUACCCUGGUAGUC
rnacentral:rRNA from 1 species